rnacentral:rRNA from 1 species
UACGAAGGGGGCUAGCGUUGCUCGGAAUCACUGGGCGUAAAGCGCACGUAGGCGGGUUGUUAAGUCAGGGGUGAAAUCCUGGAGCUCAACUCCAGAACUGCCUUUGAUACUGAGAAGCUUGAGUCCGGGAGAGGUGAGUGGAACUGCGAGUGUAGAGGUGAAAUUCGUAGAUAUUCGCAAGAACACCAGUGGCGAAGGCGGCUCACUGGCCCGGUACUGACGCUGAGGUGCGAAAGCGUGGGGAGCAAACAGG